ACGAUGCCGCGCUGCCUCAAGCAAAUACUCAAGUUGGUACUGGUCACAUGACAUCCGAGUAGCGCUACCCUCCAGGAAUGCACGCAUUCAUAUUAUUUACAAGAUGAACGCGCCGCCACGUGACUCCGAUUUUCCGCCUCGCGCUGUCCGGCACAUCGGUGCUCCCAGUUACACGGAACAACUGUCCCACAGCACAUCCCACUAGCGUAACUUCGCGCACAUGAUCGACGCAACUGAUUUCCAUAUCCUCACACUCACCACGGACAACUACAUAUCAUGUCCAGCUAACUCUUGGAUUUUACCAUACUAUUGAUCAGACUUUGAUCAAGCUAUGAUACUUGGCAGCAACACAUAAUGCAAAAGUGGCUUUCACACCAGUGAUGUAUGUAUGUACAUUCAUAGGCCAAUGAAUGCUACCAGGACACUGCUCUUCUUCAAUCUUGCAUGUCAUCAGCCUGCUGUCAUUCACAACCUGAAGCCAUCCUCCAGACAUUUUACUGCAUUUUAAAUCAGUUCUGAACUGUCUAAAUUUCAUCUGUCUUGUUAAAAUUAUACAUUGUAAUGUAAUUGUUCUAUGUAAAUGUCACAAGUCUAAAGAGCAUGAAAAACAAGUUUUGUUGUUUAAUAAAGAAGCUUUAAAGCUGUUA